AAGUCGUAACAAGGUUUCCGUAGGUGAACCUGCGGAAGGAUCAUUAUGAAUCAGUAGCUUGCUACUAUGCUGGGGUAGACGGGAAAGUCCUAGCUGAAAAGCUAGAGUGCCGGUACCUGUACCCCUAUCAUACCCUUGUCUUUUGAGUACUUAUGUUUCCUUGGUAGGCUUGCCUGCCAAAAGGACAAACUUGAAACCUAUUUAAAUAUCAAUCAGCGUCUGAAAAUAAAUUAAUGAAUUACAACUUUCAACAACGGAUCUCUUGGUUCUG
rnacentral:misc_RNA from 2 species